CUGUAAAUGAUUGGCGGUCAGAAACUUGGACCUUGUCUCUACACACAGGAGAGAGCUGCUGCCUUUCUGUGGUGGACUUCGGAAGAUUUCCUUGUGAGGGAGCUGGUGGUGAAGAUCUCGAGGUCCUCCUUGAUUCCUGCGAUCAGCUUCAGUCUUCCUGAUGUUUCUCCAAUUAUGCCUCUCUCAGUGGGUCAACAGAACAUCUGGCACAGGACAGCU